rnacentral:rRNA from 1 species
CGUGAUGCCGUCCCGCAAGGGAAGAAGUGAGCGGUACCGUGGGGCAAGAAAAGCCUCAAGCGCGAUGAAAGCAGCUGCCCGUACCCCAAACCGACACAGGUAGACGGGUUGAGAAAACCAAGGCGAACAGGAGAACCCUCGUUAAGGAACUAGGCAAAAAGGCCCCGUAACUUCGGGAGAAGGGGCGCCCUCCGCAAGGGGGGCCGCAGUGAAGAGGCUCUAUCGACUGUUUACCAAAAACACAGGCCUCUGCGAAACCGAAAGGUGACGUAUAGGGGCUGACACCUGCCCAGUGCCGGAAGGUUAAGAGGAGGGGUUAGCUGCAAGGCGAAGCUCUGAAUUGAAGCCCCGGUGAACGGCGGCCGUAACUAUAACGGUCCUAAGGUAGCGAAAUUCCUUGUCGGGUAAGUUCCGACCCGCACGAAAGGUGUAACGAGUGGAGCACUGUCUCAACGAGGGACCCGGCGAAAUUGAAGUACGUGUAAAGAUGCGUGUUACCCGCAGCAGGACAAAAAGACCCCGUGGAGCUUUACUGUAGCCUGUCAUUGCGUUAGGAUGCAGCUUGUGUAGGAUAGCUGGGAGACGGAGGAGCCUGGUCGCUAGACUGGGUGGAGUCGCCAGUGAAAUACCAGCCUGGCUGUGUUUUGGCCCUAACCCUGAGUGUGGAACGAAGGGGACAGUGGCAGGUGGGCAGUUUGACUGGGGCGGUCGCCUCCCAAAGCGUAACGGAGGCGCCCAAAGGUUGGCUCAGGCUGAAUGGAAACCAGCCAAAGCGUGUAAAGGCAAAAGCCAGCUUGACUGCAAGACGGACAGGUCGAGCAGGGACGAAAGUCGGGCUUAGUGAUCCCACGGUGCUGAGUGGAAGGGCCGUGGCUUACCGGAUAAAAGCUACCCCGGGGAUAACAGGCUAGUCUUGCCCAAGAGUUCAUAUCGACGGCAAGGCUCGGCACCUCGAUGUCGGCUCAUCGCAUCCUGGGGCUGUACAAGGUCCCAAGGGUUGGGCUGUUCGCCCAUUAAAGCGGUACGUGAGCUGGGUUCAGACCGUCGUGAGACAGGUCGGUCUCUAUCCGCUGUGGGCGUUGGGAGUUUGAGAGGAGCAGCCCCUAGUACGAGAGGACCGGGGUGGACGAAGCGCUCGUGAGCCGGUUGUCACGCCAGUGGCAGAGCCGGGUAGCGAUCUUCGGAGCGGAUAACCGCUGAAAGCAUCUAAGUGGGAAACCGACCUCAAGAUGAGACUCCCCAUCCCCUAGAGGGAGUAAGACCGCUGGGAGAC